rnacentral:rRNA from 1 species
GACGAACGCUGGCGGCGUGCCUAAUACAUGCAAGUCGAGCGGAACUGGGGGAGCUUGCGCCUUCCAGUUUAGCGGCGGACGGGUGAGUAACACGUGGGCAACCUGCCCUGCAGAUCGGGAUAACUCCGGGAAACCGGUGCUAAUACCGAAUAGUGUGGCGCCUCUCCUGAGGCGCUACGGAAAGCCGGUUUCGGCUGUCACUGCCGGACGGGCCCGCGGCGCAUUCGCUAGUUGGUGGGGUAACGGCCCACCAAGGCGACGAUGCCGCGCCGACCUGAGAGGGUGACCGGCCACACUGGGACUGAGACACGGCCCAGACUCCUACGGGAGGCAGCAGUAGGGAAUCUUCCGAAAUGGACGCAAGUCUGACGGAGCAACGCCGCGUGAGUGACGAAGGUUUCGGAUCGUAAAACUCUGUUGUGAGGGAAGAACACGUACCAACUAACUAUUGGUACCUUGACGGUACCUCGCGAGAAAGCCACGGCUAACUACGUGCCAGCCGCCGCGGUAA